rnacentral:rRNA from 1 species
UACGGGGGGGGCAAGCGUUGUUCGGAAUUACUGGGCGUAAAGGGCUCGUAGGUGGCCAACUAAGUCAGACGUGAAAUCCCUCGGCUUAACCUGGGAACUGCGUCUGAUACUGGAAGGCUUGAGUAUGGGAGAGGGAUGUAGAAUUCCAGGUGUAGCGGUGAAAUGCGUAGAUAUCUGGAGGAAUACCGGUGGCGAAGGCGGCAUCCUGGACCAUUACUGACGCUGAGGCGCGAAAGCUAGGGGAGCAAACGGG